UACAGAGGUCUCAAGCGUUGUUCGGAAUUACUGGGCGUAAAGGGUGCGCAGGCCGCACGGGCAGUCAAAUGUGUAAUUCAGAGGCUCAACCUCUGGACUGCGCUUGAUACUUCCGUGCUCGAACCUUGGAGAGGAGUCUGGAAUUCUCGGUGUAGCAGUGAAAUGCGUGGAUAUCGAGAAGAACACUUAGGGCGAAGGCAAGACUCUAGACAAGUGUUGACGCUCAUGCACGAAGGCUAGGGUAGCGAACGGG
rnacentral:rRNA from 1 species